rnacentral:rRNA from 1 species
UCAACGCUGGCGGCGUGCCUAACACAUGCAAGUCGCACGGCGGGGGCAACUCCGUCAGUGGCGGACGGGUGAGUAACGCGUAGGAAUCUAUCCUUGAAUGGGGGACAACCGUGGGAAACUACGGCUAAUACCGCAUGAUGCCUGAGGGCCAAAGGCGCAAGUCGCCUGAGGAGGAGCCUGCGUCCGAUUAGCUAGUUGGUGGGGUAAAGGCCUACCCAAGCCUACGAUCAGUAGCUGGUCUGAGAGGAUGAUCAGCCACAUUGGGACUGAGACACGGCCCAAACUCCUACGGGAGGCAGCAGUGGGGAAUAUUGGACAAUGGGCGCAAGCCUGAUCCAGCAAUGCCGCGUGGGUGAAGAAGGUCUUCGGAUUGUAAAGCCCUUUUGGCGGGGACGAUGAUGACGGUACCCGCAGAAUAAGCUCCGGCUAACUUCGUG